GAUGAACGCUGACAGAAUGCUUAACACAUGCAAGUCUACUUGAAUUUGGGUUUUUUAACUUAGAUUUGGGUGGCGGACGGGUGAGUAACGCGUAAAGAACUUGCCUCACAGUUAGGGACAACAUUUGGAAACGAAUGCUAAUACCUGAUAUUAUGAAUAUAUGGCAUCAUAUAAUUAUGAAAGCUAUAAGCGCUGUGAGAGAGCUUUGCGUCCCAUUAGCUAGUUGGAGAGGUAACGGCUCACCAAGGCGAUGAUGGGUAGCCGGCCUGAGAGGGUGAACGGCCACAAGGGGACUGAGACACGGCCCUUACUCAUACGGGAGGCAGGAGUGGGGAAUAUUGGACAAUGGACCAAGAGUCUGAUCCAGCAAUUCUGUGUGCACGAUGACGUUUUUCGGAAUGUAAAGUGCUUUCAGUUGGGAAGAAAAAAAUGACGGUACCAACAGAAGAAGUGACGGCUAAAUACGUG
rnacentral:rRNA from 1 species